rnacentral:rRNA from 1 species
UGAAGAGGUUUGGAAAGACCCACCACAGAAGGUAAUAGUCCUGUAUGUUAAACGAGAAGACUUUAGAUAUGAUCCAGAGUACCACGGGACACGUGAAACCCUGUGGGAAGCAGGAGGGACCACCCUCCAAGGCUAAAUACUACCUAGUGACCGAUAGCGUAUAGUACCGUGAGGGAAAGGUGAAAAGAACCCCGGGAGGGGAGUGAAAUAGAACCUGAACCCCUGCACUUACAAGCUGUGGAAGCACAUUUCUUGUGUGACCGCGUACUUUUUGUAGAACGGGCCAACGAGUUACGUUAAGUAGCAAGGUUAAGCACUUAAGGUGUGGAGCCGUAGCGAAAGCGAGUUUUAACUGAGCGUUCAGUUACUUGACGUAGACCCGAAACCGGGCGACCUACCCAUGAGCAGGAUGAAGCGAAAGUAAAAUUUCGUGGAGGUCCGAACCCACGAGCG